CAGAAUUAAUCUAUAAUUACAAAGAACACUAAUAUAAGCUGACCAAUCAUGAUGACAUGUAUUCAAUCAAACAAGGACUUUUAUCUAAUUGUUACUCCCACUAUUUUUAUCGAAUAUCAUAACCCUCAAGUAUGAUGAAUGAGAAAAUACUAAUUUUCUUAGUGGGGUUGAGAUCCAAAUUUUUUAUAAGUUCAAAGGUAGAAAACUCUUUCCAAUUGCAUCCCAUGCAAUUUCCAACUUUAUCCUGUCCUCUAGCACACAUAUAGCCUUGUGGGAAUCACAACAAACUAUUGUGUCUAGUUAAGUUAAACCUUUCAUUUUUAUACAGUCAUAUUUGAAUAAUGCUGCCCUUGUGGGAAUCACAACAAGGCAACAUAUUAAAAUAUGCCAUAUGCAUCAUAUGCACCAAGAUAUUACAAUAUCAAUCCCUAAAACUAGCCUUGUGGGAAUCACAACAAGCUAGCGUAGAUAUUGACAUAAUAAUAUCUAAGCAU
rnacentral:lncRNA from 1 species